AGAGUUUGAUCCUGGCUCAGGAUGAACGCUGGCGGCGUGCUUAACACAUGCAAGUCGAACGAUGAACCUCACUUGUGGGGGGAUUAGUGGCGAACGGGUGAGUAACACGUGAGUAACCUGCCCUUGACUCUGGGAUAAGCCUGGGAAACUGGGUCUAAUACCGGAUAUGACUCCUCAUCGCAUGGUGGGGGGUGGAAAGCUUUUUGUGGUUUUGGAUGGACUCGCGGCCUAUCAGCUUGUUGGUGAGGUAAUGGCUCACCAAGGCGACGACGGGUAGCCGGCCUGAGAGGGUGACCGGCCACACUGGGACUGAGACACGGCCCAGACUCCUACGGGAGGCAGCAGUGGGGAAUAUUGCACAAUGGGCGAAAGCCUGAUGCAGCGACGCCGCGUGAGGGAUGACGGCCUUCGGGUUGUAAACCUCUUUCAGUAGGGAAGAAGCGAAAGUGACGGUACCUGCAGAAGAAGCGCCGGCUAACUACGUGCCAGCAGCCGCGGUAAUACGUAGGGCGCAAGCGUUAUCCGGAAUUAUUGGGCGUAAAGAGCUCGUAGGCGGUUUGUCGCGUCUGCCGUGAAAGUCCGGGGCUCAACUCCGGAUCUGCGGUGGGUACGGGCAGACUAGAGUGAUGUAGGGGAGACUGGAAUUCCUGGUGUAGCGGUGAAAUGCGCAGAUAUCAGGAGGAACACCGAUGGCGAAGGCAGGUCUCUGGGCAUUAACUGACGCUGAGGAGCGAAAGCAUGGGGAGCGAACAGGAUUAGAUACCCUGGUAGUCCAUGCCGUAAACGUUGGGCACUAGGUG
rnacentral:rRNA from 1 species